UACGUAGGGUGCGAGCGUUAAUCGGAAUUACUGGGCGUAAAGCGUGCGCAGGCGGCGCGUUAAGACAGGUGUGAAAGCCCCGAGCUUUAACUUGGGAAUUGCGCUUGUGACUGGCGUGCUGGAGUGUGGCAGAGGGAGGUGGAAUUCCACGUGUAGCAGUGAAAUGCGUAGAGAUGUGGAGGAACACCGAUGGCGAAGGCAGCCUCCUGGGCCAGCACUGACGCUCAUGCACGAAAGCGUGGGGAGC
rnacentral:rRNA from 1 species